ensembl:lncRNA
AUUAAUUCCUCCCGAGCUUCUGGUACGAUACAGCAGUAAAUGCUGGCGUACUGUGACGGAUUGAUCAGCAAGAGCCGAUUAUACGACAGCUACAGCAGUCUGUUUAAUUCUGCCAUUGCGGAGAGAGGUGUUCGUGGUAUCUCCACCAAUGAGAGUAUAGUGCCUCCGGUCCUGGGUGAAGGAGGACGAGCCAGUGGCCCUGGGACCUCAGGUGGUGGGUCGUUUUCACACUUUCUUUUGUACAGCACUGGGUGGUCUGCAGUGAUUCUUUUGGUGUGAUUUUCUUUUGGUUCCACGGCUGCUGCUGCUCCCUCCAGGGGUGCACAGAGCGGGUCAUCUGCCCAGAUCUCAACCUAUCGCUGUCACACCAACACUCUCGACUGCAUCCAUGAACUUCCUGUGGUUUCCAUCUUUUCCUCCUGCACUGCAGCUCCAUCCACAAGGAUGAUGGUUUAUAAUCCUUACAGAGGUGCCUGCUACAUCUGACGUCACCUGUAUUUAUCAUUGUGAGGGAAGCCAAGCCUGCGACGGUGUGAGGACAGCAGAGCAGGAACUGAAAACUGAGCCCAUCUCUGGAUGAAUGAAAACAGCAGUGCAUCACUUCCUGUACCUACAUGCAGGCUGUGCUUUAAGAACCCCGAAACUAGGAGUACCGGUAUAUGAACAGUGCAGCCCUGCUGUGUGUUUACUCUGCUGAUGCAUGAAGUAGAACUAGCUACACCUGGAAGAUUAUUACAGUUAACCAGUUUGCCACUUUAACAGCAGUUAACUGGAAUAACAGACUAAACUGGUUCUGUGUAAAUACUGGAAAUGUCUUUGGCUUCUCAUUUUAUUUGCUUCUGUUUUCUGAUCCUAAUAAAAUGUUAUUUUAUUC